rnacentral:rRNA from 1 species
UACAGAGGUGGCAAGCGUUGUUCGGAAUUACUGGGCGUAAAGGGCGCGUAGGCGGUCUGUCAAGUCCCGUGUGAAAGCCCCCGGCUCAACCGGGGAACGGCGCGGGAAACUAGCAGGCUUGAGUUCGGGAGAGGGAAGCGGAAUUUCGGGUGUAGCGGUGAAAUGCGCAGAUAUCCGAAGGAACACCGGUGGCGAAGGCGGCUUCCUGGACCGACACUGACGCUGAGGCGCGAAAGCUAGGGGAGCAAACGGG